rnacentral:rRNA from 1 species
UACGGAGGGUGCAAGCGUUAUCCGGAUUCACUGGGUUUAGAGGGUGCGUAGGUGGGUUGGUAAGUCAGUGGUGAAAUCUCCGAGCUUAACUUGGAAACUGCCAUUGAUACUAUCAGUCUUGAAUAUUGUGGAGGUCAGCGGAAUAUGUCAUGUAGCGGUGAAAUGCUUAGAUAUGACAUAGAACACCAAUUGCGAAGGCAGCUGGCUACACAUAUAUUGACACUGAGGCACGAAAGCGUGGGGAUCAAACAGG